rnacentral:rRNA from 1 species
UACGUAGGGUGCAGGCGUUAAUCGGAAUUACUGGGCGUAAAGCGUGCGCAGGCGGUCUUUUAAGUCAGAUGUGAAAUCCCCGGGCUUAACCUGGGAACUGCGUUUGAAACUGGCAGGCUAGAGUGCGGGAGAGGAGAAUGGAAUUCCUGGUGUAGCGGUGAAAUGCGCAGAUAUCAGGAAGAACACCCGUGGCGAAGGCGGUUCUCUGGAACGCAACUGACGCUGAGACGCGAAAGCGUGGGGAGCAAACAGG